GAGUCUUUGAACGCAAGUUGCGCCUGACGCCAUUCGGCCGAGGGCACGUCUGCCUGGGUGUCACG
rnacentral:rRNA from 3 species